UGGGGUGCUCGAGUGGCGAACGGGUGAGUAACACGUGAGUAACCUGCCCUUGACUUUGGGAUAACUUCAGUAAACUGGGGCUAAUACCGGAUAGUAGCUCCUGCUGCAUGGUGGGGGUUGGAAAGUUUCGGCGGUUGGGGAUGGACUCGCGGCUUAUCAGCUUGUUGGUGGGGUAGUGGCUUACCAAGGCUUUGACGGGUAGCCGGCCUGAGAGGGUGACCGGCCACAUUGGGACUGAGAUACGGCCCAG
rnacentral:rRNA from 1 species